rnacentral:rRNA from 1 species
CCCUUAGAUGUUCUGGGCUGCACGCGCGCUACACUGACGUACGCAACGAGUGUCCUUUACCGAGAGGUAUGGGUAAUCAUUUGAGUGUACGUCGUGAUGGGGAUAGAAUAUUGUAAUUAUUACUCUUCAACGAGGAAUUCCUAGUAAGCGCAAGUCAGCAGCUUGCGCUGAUUACGUCCCUGCCCUUUGUACACGCCGCCCGUCGCUCCUACCGAUGGGUGAUCCGGUGAAUGAUUCGGACUCGGUUGCCUCUAGCCACUAGUGGCGCUCGAGAAAGUUUUGUGAACCUUAUCACUUGGAGGAAGGAGAAGUCGUAACA